rnacentral:rRNA from 1 species
CGGCGGACGGGUGAGUAACGCGUGGGUAACCUACCUCAUACGGGGGGAUAACAGUUGGAAACGGCUGCUAAUACCGCAUAAGCGCACAGUACCGCAUGGUACCGUGUGAAAAACUCCGGUGGUAUGAGAUGGACCCGCGUCUGAUUAGCUAGUUGGUGGGGUAACGGCCCACCAAGCCGACGAUCAGUAGCCGACCUGAGAGGGUGACCGGCCACAUUGGGACUGAGACACGGCCCAA